AAGUGUUUAUAAGGCGACUUUACCGAAUCAUGGACCGAUCUCGAUUGAGUCAGUGAUCGUCGAGCGAGUUACACCACCUGGUCUUCACGCGUUCACCCCAGCUACUUCUCCAGGUAACAAGAAGUUUAUAGCAGUAGCCACGAGAAGACCUAACUCGGAUUAUCGCCAUGUAGAGCUAUUUGACCUGGUUAAGAACGAGUUUAUCCAGUUGACUCGGUUAGUAUCUCCCCAAACUCACCACUUGAACCCGUUUAUCUCACCCGACUCAGCCCGAGUUGGUUACCACAGAUGUAGAGGU
rnacentral:lncRNA from 1 species